rnacentral:rRNA from 1 species
CCAAUAGCGUAUAUUAAAGUUGUUGCGGUUAAAAAGCUCGUAGUUGGACUUGUGUCCCACGCCGUCGGUUCGUCGCCCGUUGACGUAACCGCACGGUCAAAAUUGAACAGUGGGACGUCCAGCCGGUGGCGACGCCUGGUCCCGGCGUACGAACGGAGGCUUCCGGUUCCAACCCCGGAGGGGGCGUCCGUGCGCGCGGCUGCGCGCGCGCGUGCCCGCCCGGCCGCGUCGGUGUCCUCUGCCCGUCGCGCUGUGCCCGUGCACAAAAAGGUCGUCGCGGGUGCGCCCUCCGUCCGCAAGGACGGUUGAGGCGUCCGCGGCGGUCGCACGUGGCCGGCGACGGUGCACGCCCGGCGACCAAACGGUCGGGAUCGUGGCGCGCGCCGCGCACGUCCUCUACGCGCGCGGCGUCCAUCAAACCGACGGGGUACCGGUGCCACGUUCAGCCGGGGUGCCGGUCCCAUUUUACUCGUCUCGGUGCUCUUGAUCGAGUGUCUUGACGGGCCGGCUCGUUUACUUUGAACAAAUUAGAGUGCUUCAAGCAGGCGCAUUCACGCCCGAAUAUUGUGUGCAUGGAAUAAUGGAAUAGGAUCUCGGUCUUAUUUUGUUGGUUUUCUGGACCGGAGAUAAUGAUCAAUAGAGACUGACGGGGGCAUUCGUAUUGCGACGUUAGAGGUGAAAUUCUUGGAUCGUCGCAAGACGAACCGAAGCGAAAGCAUUUGCCAAGCAUGCUCUCGUUAAUCAAGAACGAAAGUUAGAGGUUCGAAGGCGAUCAGAUACCGCCCUAGUUCUAACCAUAAACGAUGCCAACUAGCGAUCCGCCGGUGUUCCUCCGAUGACCCGGCGGGCAGCUUCCGGGAAACCAAAGUGUUUGGGUUCCGGGGGAAGUAUGGUUGCAAAGCUGAAACUUAAAGGAAUUGACGGAAGGGCACCACCAGGAGUGGAGCCUGCGGCUUAAUUUGACUCAACACGGGAAACCUCACCAGGCCCGGACACUGGAAGGAUUGACAGAUUGAUAGCUCUUUCUUGAUUCAGUGGGUGGUGGUGCAUGGCCGUUCUUAGUUGGUGGAGCGAUUUGUCUGGUUAAUUCCGAUAACGAACGAGACUCUGGCCUGCUAACUAGUCGCACAAACAAUGACGACAUCCGCAUUCGUGCUGUCGGCGACAAAUCAAUACUCUUCUUAGAGGGACAGGCGGCUUCUAGCCGCACGAGAUUGAGCAAUAACAGGUCUGUGAUGCCCUUAGAUGUUCUGGGCCGCACGCGCGCUACACUGGAGGCAUCAACGUGUGUCCGCCCUUGACCGAGAGGUCCGGGUAACCCGCUGAAACGCCUCCGUGCUAGGGAUCGGGGCUUGCAAUUGUUCCCCGUGAACGAGGAAUUCCCAGUAAGCGCGAGUCAUAAGCUCGCGUUGAUUACGUCCCUGCCCUUUGUACACACCGCCCGUCGCUACUACCGAUUGAAUGAUUUAGUGAGGUCUUCGGACCGUCGCGCGGCCAAGGCCCCGCCGAGUCCGCUCGCGCGGUGGCCCGUCGAUGUUCGACGGAAAGAUGAUCAAACUUGAUUAUUUAGAGGAAGUAAAGGUCGU